rnacentral:pre_miRNA from 1 species
GUCCUCAUUCUAACCUCAUCCUCAUCCUCGUCCUCAUCCUUGUCAUCAUCCUAUCCUCAUCCUCAUUCUCGUCGUCAAUGAGGAUAGGAUGAGGACGAGGAUGAGGACGUUGAUAAGGAUAGGAUGAGGAUGAGAAUAGGAUGAGGAUGACGAAAUGGAUUAGGAUGAGGAUGAGGAUGGGGAUGAUGAUAAGGAU